UUUCUUCUCGCAUGUAAAAAAAACACACCCAGAUAGAUGUUAUAAACAAAGACAAGACAUUACAACACACAGUCGUAUUCAACUACAAGAGCGACAUCAUGAUCUGCCUUGAUGUGAUAGACCAUACAAUGUACAAAACAAGAAUCAAUGUGGCUGAUACACAUGGGACAGUGGGACAGCUAAAGCAAGACAUUUUCAAGAUCCUACCGAAGACUUCAGGUCUUAGUGAGGAGUCUGUGAGGCUGACAGUCAAAAGCAAGAUAAUGGAGGACAAUGAACCACUAUCAUCAUACCCUGUGGAUCACAUGUCUGUCAUUCACCUGGUGCUGCAGGUACAUGGGGGAUAGAGUGAAUAACCACCUUCCCCGUCUGGCAUUGAUACUUCUACCCUGCCAGUCCUUCUGUGGAGCCUGACUCAUCUUGAGGUUUCGUCUUCGGUUACGGAUGUUCUGUGGACUCUUCUACCUACUGUGAUUCAACAUUUCCAUUGUUUGCUCUUAGGAGGUUUUAAGUUGAUUCUCAGCGUGAGCAUUUUGUUAUUACUGCUGAUGCUAAAAGGGCUUUAUAAAAUCCAUAUCAUCAAUUGAUUGUGUGAUGAAGUCUAUUCCUGUUGGUCAUAUGGCCCCAGGUUGAGAAUGACGGAAACAACUGAUGUCCAAAGGAACAAACCUGCAUGAAUAAUAAAUACUUUGUUCAUUGAGAAAGUUAUUUGUAAAUUGAUGUAACCCAUUGAAUUGUAAUUUAGUUUUCUAUGGUAAUACUGCUGCUUUUAAAUUUCACUCCUGUCUCUGUAUGAAAAUAAAAUUAUACUGACAUAA